AUACGUUACUGAAGUUACGUUGGACAGUGGACACGCAUGCGUCUGAAACCCAGUCCGUCUAACAACACUGCCGGAAGUUUUUCUCGAUCAAAUAUAACCGCCUUCGUUGAUCGUUCAUUCUGCGACUGGAUCUCUCGGAGGACGCGUCGUUGGCGUCCUUGCACAUGUUGCACGUCCUGGCUUACCAUGGAAAGUGCUGGGUUUGUAGAGCUGCCUUCCUCUCUUUGCUGUCUUUCUCUCAUAUCGAAGAUAUGGCAGAGCCACUAAAUAGCUUGUGCUUAUCAUCACAAUUGUUUUAAAAUAUGGAAGAGCAGAUUUGUGACCUGUUACAAAUUUCUUCUCCAAAUCGGGCGUUUAUAAAGAUGGAAGAGCAGAUUUGUGACCUGUUACAAAUUUCUUCUCCAAAUCGGACGUUUAUAAUGUGAGAAAUACGCAAGAGAGCGUGUAAGGAAGAAUUUUAAGAUGUUAAUAUUCAUUAUGCUCAACAUAAUUGCAAUAAUAUAAAUUGUACAUCAAAAUGACAUUUUUUUAUAAAACUGAUUAAUUUGCAAUGCGGUAACAAUGCAAUUGUGUGUGUGUGAUCCGUAUAGAUACUAUUCGAAGGUAGUAGUGGAAGAGACAACAGUGUUUGAGCAAUAAGAAUUAUAAUGUGAGAAAUAUGCAAGAGAGCGUGUAAGGAAGAAUUUGAAGAUGUUAAUAUUCAUUAUGCUCAACAUAAUUGCAAUAAUAUAAAUUGUACAUCAAAAUGACAUUUUUUAUAAAAUUGAUUAAUUUGCAAUGCGGUAACAAUGCAAUUGUGUGUGUGUGAUCCGUAUAGAUACUAUUCGAAGGUAGUAGUGGAAGGGACGACAGCGUUCGAUGCUUACAGUUAAAACUGUUCAAACUACAAAAUUUCAGCUACUGGAAUAAGAGCGACGGAUCUGUCGCUUAUUUCAGCAGGGAAAUUGUACCUUAAAUCGUGUUAUAGAACCUGGGAGCCACUAUUUACGAAUCAGUUGGUUUUACACGGAGUCACACGUCAUCACUAUUUGAAAAUGAGCUAUUAAAUGGGACCUUAGCACUUUAAGAGAAUAUUUGAAUUACAGGAAAAGCAAGUAGAAGGUAAAAGGAAAUAUGGCUCGUAGGUUGUAUGAUAAACGAGAUGAAAUAGAGAAUAUAUUCCAUAGAAAUAUGAUUCUUUUAUUGGAGAACCUUUACAUCUAAGUUCUACUGCCGCGUUGAAGUCCGAUACCAUGUCUCCGCAAACCAAAGUUGGAUCGGAGCAAUCGGGUUUAGCAGGAC